UACGAAGGGUGCAAGCGUUAAUCGGAAUUACUGGGCGUAAAGGGUGCGUAGGCGGUUCGGUAAGUCUGUUGUGAAAUCCCCGGGCUCAACCUGGGAAUGGCAAUGGAUACUGGCGGGCUAGAGUGUGUCAGAGGAUGGUGGAAUUCCCGGUGUAGCGGUGAAAUGCGUAGAGAUCGGGAGGAACAUCAGUGGCGAAGGCGGCCAUCUGGGACAACACUGACGCUGAAGCACGAAAGCGUGGGGAGCAAACAGG
rnacentral:rRNA from 1 species